rnacentral:sRNA from 1 species
AGUAUUCGGGUAACUCAAGGGUGGUUGGCACACUCUCAUUAGACAGGAGGUGAUGCUAUGACAGUAUUUGAAAGUCUAAUGCUAGCGGUUGCUUUUGCCAGUUUAAUAUUAGCACUGACAGAUAAUCAAAAAAAUAACCCACCCUUGAGUUGAGAGCUCGAUUCGGUGGGUUAUUUUCGUAAUCGGUGCUAACCCCCUUGCAGGGAUCCUAGCUAUUGUAGACCGCUAGCGUUCGCAACAC